rnacentral:rRNA from 1 species
GAUGAACGCUGGCGGCGUGCCUAAUACAUGCAAGUCGAGCGAACAGACGAGGAGCUUGCUCCUCUGACGUUAGCGGCGGACGGGUGAGUAACACGUGGAUAACCUACCUAUAAGACUGGGAUAACUUCGGGACACCGGAGCUAAUACCGGAUAAUAUAUUGAACCGCAUGGUUCAAUAGUGAAAGACGGUUUCGCUGUCACUUAUAGAUGGAUCCGCGCCGCAUUAGCUAGUUGGUAAGGUAACGGCUUACCAAGGCGACGAUGCGUAGCCGACUUGAGAGGGUGAUCGGCCACACUGGAACUGAGACACGGUCCAGACUCCUACGGGAGGCAGCAGUAGGGAAUCUUCCGCAAUGGGCGAAAGCCUGACGGAGCAACGCCGCGUGAGUGAUGAAGGUCUUCGGAUCGUAAAACUCUGUUAUUAGGGAAGAACAAAUGUGUAAGUAACUAUGCACGUCUUGACGGUACCUAAUCAGAAAGCCACGGCUAACUACGUG